UAUCAAUAAGCGGAGGAAAAGAAACCAACAGGGAUUGCCCUAGUAACGGCGAGUGAAGCGGCAACAGCUCAAAUUUGAAAUCUGGCUCUCUUUGGGGGUCCGAGUUGUAAUUUGCAGAGGAUGCUUUGGCAUUGGCGGCGGUCUAAGUUCCUUGGAACAGGACAUCGCAGAGGGUGAGAAUCCCGUACGUGGGCGCCUGCCUUUGCCGUGUAAAGCUCCUUCGACGAGUCGAGUUGUUUGGGAAUGCAGCUCUAAAUGGGAGGUAAAUUUCUUCUAAAGCUAAAUACCGGCCAGAGACCGAUAGCGCACAAGUAGAGUGAUCGAAAGAUGAAAAGUACUUUGGAAAGAGAGUCAAAAAGCACGUGAAAUUGUUGAAAGGGAAGCGCUUGCAGCCAGACUUGCCCGCAGUUGCUCACCUAGGCUUUGGCCUGGGGCACUCUUCUGCGGGCAGGCCAGCAUCAGUUUGGGCGGUCGGACAAAGGCCUCUGUCAAGUAUCUCCCUUCGGGGUGACCUUAUAGGGGAGGCGUAAUGCGACCAGCCCGGACUGAGGUCCGCGCAUCUGCUAGGAUGCUGGCGUAAUGGCUGUAAGCGGCCCGUCUUGAAACACGGGA
rnacentral:sRNA from 1 species